GCGAAACAGACAAACUAGAACUCUGGCCAGAGGAAGGACCUGAACGCAAAGCAGCAGCUUUGGUCUACACUGACUGCUGUAUUAGAACAAAAUGUGUAAGAUGAGGAGAGUAAGGCUGGGAGAGACGGAGUGCCUCGUUCAAGGUCACACAGCCAAGAAGUCUUGGUAUUGAAAACUGGGCCUAAGAGACUUCUGAGCCAGGAUCUUUCCACCCCACGGUCUCUGAGUUUGGGUGAGCAUGAAAUGAAAUGCACCUCGCCCAGUGCCCACAGGAGCCCAGGACAUCUUGGGUGCCACCCCCCAGCCUGGGGAGACAAUGAGGAUGGACCUAGGACCCACCUAGUUCCUGUACCAGCCUCUCCUGUCCUUUCUAGGGCAUAAACACCCUUCCCACGUGCUCAGGACUGUCUGCUGAAUCAAGGCAUUCAGAGUGGACUGAGAAGCCUGUGCAAGGCGGCGCCUGCCCCUGCCACUGCCUCUGCCAGGUCCAGGGCUCAAGUCUGACAUCUCUGAAGCCCAGUGCCCAGGAGAGAACCAGACAGUGGGUGUGGUUGAUCAAAGAGGAGAAAUGGAUCUGGGUAGUACAUGCUUUCUUAACUAUACACCUGCCCUAUGAGCCAGCAACGCCACUCCUGAGUAUAUACCCAAGACGUGAGUGCAUAUGGCCACCCAGAGACCCGACACACGUGUUCGUGGCAGCCGUGUUCCUCAUGGACCCAAACCGGAAACAACUCAAUGCCAUCAGCAGGAGCCUGGAUAAACGAGUCGUGCAGUUCUACGACGAGGUCCUACACAGCAAUUGGAAGGAAAUGACCCACCGGCAUGUGCAACAACGUGGAUGAAUCACACCUUUAUUAUGUGGAGCCCACGAAGCCAGACGAAAGAGUACUUACUGUAUUAUGCCACGCACACGAAGAUCAAGAAGAGGCAAAACCACUCCAGAUGAUAGAUGACAGGAUAGUGGUUACCUCUGCCGGUGGAUAUAGACUGGGUAGGGGCAGAAGGGAACUUCCUGGGGUGCUGGAAAUGUCUACACCUUGAUCUGGGUGUGGGUACGUGGGCGUACAUACAUAUGUAAAAAAUUAUCAAACCAUACCCUUAUACACACACUUUACUGUGUGGAUGUUCUACCACAUUCAAAAAUAAAAAAUUUUAAAGUACAUACAAGCUAAAAAACAAAAAAAGUACAUGGUCACUAUUAGGAGUUGACAAGUG
ensembl:lncRNA